rnacentral:rRNA from 1 species
AUUGAACGCUGGCGGCAGGCCUAACACAUGCAAGUCGAACGGUAACAGGAAGACGCUUGCUUCUUUGCUGACGAGUGGCGGACGGGUGAGUAGUGUCUGGGAAACUGCCUGAUGGAGGGGGAUAACUACUGGAAACGGUAGCUAAUACCGCAUAAUGUCGCAAGACCAAAGAGGGGGACCUUCGGGCCUCUUGCCAUCGGAUGUGCCCAGAUGGGAUUAGCUAGUAGGUGGGGUAACGGCUCACCUAGGCGACGAUCCCUAGCUGGUCUGAGAGGAUGACCAGCCACACUGGAACUGAGACACGGUCCAGACUCCUACGGGAGGCAGCAGUGGGGAAUAUUGCACAAUGGGCGCAAGCCUGAUGCAGCUAUGCCGCGUGUAUGAAGAAGGCCUUCGGGUUGUAAAGUACUUUCAGCGGGGAGGAAGGGAGUAAAGUUAAUACCUUUGCUCAUUGACGUUACCCGCAGAAGAAGCACCGGCUAACUCCGUGC